rnacentral:rRNA from 1 species
GACGUAGGGGGCCAGCGUUGUUCGGAAUUACUGGGUGUAAAGGGUUCGUAGGCGGUGCGGCAAGUCGGGAGUGAAAUCUCUGGGCUUAACCCAGAGGCUGCUUCCGAAACUGCUGUGCUUGAGUGUGGGAGAGGCGCGUAGAAUUGCAGGUGUAGCGGUGAAAUGCGUAGAUAUCUGCAGGAACACCCGUGGCGAAAGCGGCAUCCUGGACCGGUAUUGACGCUGAGGCGCGAAAGCUAGGGGAGCAAACGGG